rnacentral:tRNA from 1 species
GGGAGUGUUCCCGAGUGGCCAAAGGGGGCAGACUGUAAAUCUGUUGGCACCGCCUUCGGUGGUUCGAAUCCACCCGCUCCCACCA